GUUUAUCCGAAACGAUUUUAGAGGCCUUUAAUGUUAAAGAUUAUGAUAGCUUGUAGGUUUGGUCUUACAAAAACUGUGCACAUUUCAAUAGCAUUGCUGUUCUCAUUUCAAUAACAUUGUGUCCUGUACAGGCGCAGGCCUUAGCGAACAAUAAAGACCCAGCACUAGCCUUAUCAGCAUUCUUAUCUCAGAUUUUGGCAGUGACACUGGACUGGAGCCCAGGAAGAGAAGUCACAUUGCAGCAGUCACACAGCUGCUCAGAAAUUGAGACGGAAAACAUGUGAGAGGGCGAAGCGAAAAAGCCUGAGAGUGAGAGCUACAUCGAGGGAAAGGAAGUGGAAAUGCAUGUGGGUGAGUGUGUUAGGGCUGUGAGGGAGGACCGGCUUACUCUGGUUUGCGCUGCUUUUUCGACUUGUCCCUGUGCCAGGGGGUUACAGAGGGGAUGGCAGCCCUGCCGGCUUCAGCGUGUUGUUGUUUGCCCUUUAAGGAGAAUCAGUGUCUGGGGGAUGAAAUGGCUGUGUGAACAUUGGUCCCCUGCCAGAUUUUUGGAAAACAAGGUGAUUUAGUUACUACUGAAAAUGAGACACUCCUUGCCUUUUGCAGCAUUCAUAUCUACACCAUCGUGCUCAUCAUACACAGCUUAUACGCUCUACAAUACCAAAGUGCUUGAUGAGAUCCAUAAGAUUUUUGUUAAGCGACAGACAUAAACAAAUGACGUCAUGCAAUAUAGCAGAAGGUCAGACUAUCAGAAACACAC
ensembl:lncRNA